rnacentral:tRNA from 1 species
GUGCAUGUAGCUCAGUCGGGAGAGCAUCUGACAAGAAUAAAUAAUGAGACUUGUAAAAGCCUUUGACAGCAACUAUAGAUAUGGGAAUCGGAUUAGUCGCAAGUUCAAGUCUUGCCAUGCACA